AGGACUAAUGAUAAGAGUUUGUCAAGAACCAAGGAAUUUGACUAAUCCAAUUCUGUGCACCUGUGACUCAUA
rnacentral:snoRNA from 14 species